rnacentral:misc_RNA from 1 species
GCACGCCCAUACCCACAUAAAGGUACGCGCUCUCGUACACUCAGCUGAGCGCAAUGCUGAGCGGCAUCGCCGGCAUCCGUCGGUGCGCGGCACGUGGGGCAGGCGGUGCUGCUGCUGCCCGUACCUCUGGUGCGGCUGCGUCCGCAUCCCCCAAAGUCCCUUCUUUGCUCUGAUUGCUCGCCCGCCUCGGGCGCUGGUGGCGGGAGCGCGCAUUUCAUGCUGUGGCGCCCCACGCGCCCGGGCGCCUCACCGGCAAGAUGUCGGAGACGGCGCACCGGGUGAGGGCCCUGCGGGCUGGCAGGAAGGGCCGCGCCGGUGUGCUCCGUCGUGGCGACGAGCCUCGAGGACGAUGCCGCCCGCGCCGCGGCCGUGGUGCAGUCCGGCAUGCACACGAUGGGCACCGUCGCCAGGGUGGAGCGCAUUGCGGCGCGGGAGCCGCCGAGUAGGAUGUUGCACCGCGCGAGGCUGCUGGGGCUAGUAAGGCCGCUGCGCUCCUGCGCGCACGACCCGCGCGACGUCGAGGCCAUCGCGCUGAUCCUGUUUGGCCGCGGCUGGCGGGCGGAGCGGCUGUGACUGCCGGGGAGGGCGGGCCCCUCGCCGUGUGUGUUUGCGUCGAAGCUCGAGCAGGACGGCAUUAGCGAGAGGGCGCAGCGGAUGAAGGAGGGGAGUCUUCGCCGUGCCCCGGCCAAGUACAAGGGCACCAUGAGCUGCAUGUUCGGCGUGUCUGCGGUCCGUGACGUCUUCACGAUGAACCGCCGCGCCCACCGGCGGCAGCAGCGGGGCCAUCAGCUCAAGACAGCCAUCGAGACCCCCUCCAAGGCCGUACGGUGAUCCCAGGGCGAGGGUGUGCUGGCGACGGCCGACGAUGCUCUCGCCGUGAAGCGCAAGGAUGAGGAGGCGGCGGUGCGCACGGAGGCUGCGCGGGGGCAGUAGCUCGCGGCGGGUGUACAAGGGCGCGGUCGCGCUGGCGUGCGACGGUCGUCUGUGCGAUCUCGCCCGGGAGGUGGCCAUGGAGCCGCUGACCGUGGCAGGCGCUGGGCUGCCGCGCCGCGACGCCUGCACGAGUCCCGUGCUCGACCGCGAGCGCAGGCACUCGCCUACGCGCAGCACACUUUGUGGGCCCCGUCAGCCCCAGCCGCAUCAUCGACAUCAUCGGAACGAGCAGCAGCGAUUUGGACGAGCUGUUUGCCGCCGUGCACCAAGGCCGCGGCGGGCGGCGCUGUGGAGGGCACUGCGCCGCACGGUCCCGUAAAGGAUGUGUGGCUGCUGCGCACGAGGCUUUUCCGCUCCGCUGCGCCUUUCCCCGGUGCUGCCGGCUGUAGAUGCGAGGUGAGGUGAGGUGGUGAUGGAGGAGGGCGGGGCAGGGAUCUGUGCGAGCGCGUGAGUGCGGGGGUGGAGGGGCACACUCACAUGCUCCGACUCGCAUCUGCUGCUCUUCGUCGUGCCGCCUUUCUGUGUGGUGCCGAGCGGCUGCGGUGCCGUCUCUGUGCGCCCUCGCCCCGUGCCUAUCCGCCGCCUCCAUCUCUGCUGUCUGCAACGAGCGGGACGGGCGGUGACGGCGCGGCGCCGGUGGUGUCGGUGGAUUGUCGCAGCGGUGGGCGCGGUGGUGCUGCGUGCCAGGGCCGCGACGGAGGAUGUGUGUGUGUGUGUGUGUGUGUGUGUGUGUGUGUGUGUGUGUGUGUGUGUCGCUGUCUUUCCUCGCGCUGUUGUCGUGGAUGCUUCUUCUGCUCUCUGGUGCUGUGAAGGGUGGCGCACGGGUGACGGGGUUGGCGGGUGGUGGCGCGGCGGUGCAGGAUGGAGGGUGCUGGAGCCCUGCCGCACAGGCACGCCGAGGCCCCUCCGUCCCCCUCUGCACGCACCGCGCACCACAGGCCUCACACAGGCGCGCCUAGGACAGCGCAAGGGAGAAAGAAAGCAGCAAGCAACCGCGGGCGACAAUUUGUGCCACGGCGGUCCUUUGCGCUCUCUCUUCCUCCCGUCCCUCGCCCCGGCUGUGCGCCGCGGCGGCGUGUCUGACACCCACCGGCCCCCUCUCCCUAUGCUUGUGUGUAUGCCAGCAGGUGGCCCACCCGCCCCAGCUGUGCACGACUCGCAGUCGUCUUUGCCUGUCCCCUCACCACUCCCCCCCCGCACACUUCUCGCUCUGCCUCUCUCUCCUCCCCGCCCCCAAAACAAACGCGCACGGGCAAG